GCAGGAUAUUGCUGGCUUACGUGUGAUGGUUCAGUUUGUAGAUGACGUCAAGGAAGUAGUGGAUAUUUUGCACAAGCGUCAGGAUAUGCGAAUCAUACAGGAGCGAGAUUACAUUACUCAUAGAAAAGCAUCAGGCUAUCGUUCCUAUCAUGUGGUAGUAGAAUAUACGGUUGAUACCAUCAAUGGAGCUAAGACUAUUUUGGCAGAAAUUCAAAUUCGUACUUUGGCCAUGAAUUUCUGGGCAACGAUAGAACAUUCUCUCAACUACAAGUACCAAGGGGAUUUCCCAGAUGAGAUUAAGAAGCGACUGGAAAUUACAGCUAGAAUCGCCCAUCAGUUGGAUGAAGAAAUGGGUGAAAUUCGUGAUGAUAUCCAAGAAGCCCAGGCACUUUUUGAUCCUUUGAGUAGAAAAUUAAAUGACGGUGUAGGAAACAGUGACGAUACAGAUGAAGAAUACAGGUAAACGAAUUGAUCUGAUAGCCAAUAGAAAACCGCAGAGUCAAAGGGUUUUGUAUGAAUUGCGAGAUCGUUUGAAGAGAAAUCAGUUUAUACUCAAUGAUACCAAUCCGGAUAUUGUCAUUUCCAUUGGCGGGGAUGGUAUGCUCUUGUCGGCCUUUCAUAAGUACGAAAAUCAGCUUGACAAGGUCCGCUUUAUCGGUCUUCAUACUGGACAUUUGGGCUUCUAUACAGAUUAUCGUGAUUUUGAGUUGGACAAGCUAGUGACUAAUUUGCAGCUAGAUACUGGGGCAAGGGUUUCUUACCCUGUUCUGAAUGUGAAGGUCUUUCUUGAAAAUGGUGAAGUUAAGAUUUUCAGAGCACUCAACGAAGCCAGCAUCCGCAGGUCUGAUCGAACCAUGGUGGCAGAUAUUGUAAUAAAUGGUGUUCCCUUUGAACGUUUUCGUGGAGACGGGCUAACAGUUUCGACACCGACUGGUAGUACUGCCUAUAACAAGUCUCUUGGCGGUGCUGUUUUACACCCUACCAUUGAAGCUUUGCAAUUAACGGAAAUUGCCAGCCUUAAUAAUCGUGUUUAUCGAACACUGGGCUCUUCCAUUAUUGUGCCUAAGAAGGAUAAGAUUGAACUUAUUCCAACAAGAAACGAUUAUCAUACUAUUUCGGUUGACAAUAGCGUUUAUUCUUUCCGUAAUAUUGAGCGUAUUGAGUAUCAAAUCGACCAUCAUAAGAUUCACUUUGUCGCGACUCCUAGCCAUACCAGUUUCUGGAACCGUGUUAAGGAUGCCUUUAUCGGUGAGGUGGAUGAAUGAGGUUUGAAUUUAUCGCAGAUGAACAUGUCAAGGUUAAGACCUUUUUAAAAAAGCACGAGGUUUCUAAGGGAUUGCUGGCUAAGAUUAAGUUUCGAGGUGGAGCGAUUCUGGUCAAUAAUCAACCGCAAAAUGCAACGUAUCUAUUGGACGUUGGAGACUACGUUACCAUUUACAUUCCCGCUGAGGAAGGCUUUGAAACCUUGGAGGCUAUUGAGCAUCCAUUAGAUAUUCUCUAUGAGGAUGACCACUUUCUAGUCUUGAAUAAACCCUAUGGAGUGGCUUCUAUUCCUAGUGUCAAUCACUCUAAUACCAUUGCCAAUUUUAUCAAGGGUUACUAUGUCAAGCAAAAUUAUGAAAAUCAGCAGGUUCACAUUGUUACCAGACUAGAUAGGGACACUUCUGGCUUGAUGCUCUUUGCCAAGCACGGUUAUGCCCAUGCACGAUUAGACAAGCAGUUGCAGAAGAAAUCUAUCGAGAAACGCUACUUUGCUUUGGUUAAGGGAGAUGGACAUUUGGAGCCAGAAGGGGAAAUUAUUGCUCCGAUUGCGCGUGAUGAAGAUUCCAUUAUUACCAGACGAGUGGCUAAAGGCGGAAAGUAUGCCCAUACUUCAUACAAGAUUGUAGCUUCUUAUGGAAAUAUUCACUUGGUCUAUAUUCACCUGCACACUGGUCGAACCCAUCAAAUCCGAGUCCAUUUUUCUUAUAUCGGUUUUCCUUUGCUGGGAGAUGAUUUGUAUGGUGGUAGUCUGGAAGAUGGUAUUCAACGUCAGGCUCUGCAUUGCCAUUACCUAUCCUUUUAUCAUCCAUUUUUAGAGCAAGACUUGCAGUUAGAAAGUCCCUUGCCGGAUGAUUUCAGUAACCUUAUUACCCAGUUAUCAACUAAUACUCUAUAAAAACUGUCUCAGAGUAUAAUUAUUAUCUUAAAGGAGAAAACUCAUGGAAGUUUUUGAAAGUCUCAAAGCCAACCUUGUUGGUAAAAAUGCUCGUAUCGUUCUCCCUGAAGGGGAAGAGCCUCGUAUUCUUCAAGCAACAAAACGCUUAGUAAAAGAAACAGAAGUGAUUCCUGUUUUGCUUGGAAAUCCUGAAAAAAUUAAAAUUUAUCUUGAAAUUGAAGGAAUCAUGGAUGGUUAUGAGGUCAUCGACCCUCAACAUUAUCCUCAAUUUGAAGAAAUGGUUUCUGCCUUGGUGGAGCGUCGCAAGGGCAAAAUGACUGAAGAAGAUGUACGCAAGGUUUUGGUUGAAGAUGUCAACUACUUUGGUGUGAUGUUGGUUUACUUGGGCUUGGUUGAUGGAAUGGUGUCAGGAGCGAUUCACUCAACAGCUUCAACAGUUCGUCCAGCUCUACAAAUCAUCAAAACUCGUCCAAAUGUAACUCGUACUUCAGGAGCCUUCCUCAUGGUUCGUGGUACGGAACGUUACCUAUUUGGAGACUGUGCCAUUAACAUCAAUCCAGAUGCAGAAGCCUUGGCUGAAAUUGCCAUCAACUCAGCAAUCACAGCUAAGAUGUUUGGCAUCGAACCUAAAAUUGCCAUGUUGAGCUAUUCUACUAAAGGUUCAGGGUUUGGUGAAAGCGUUGAUAAGGUCGUUGAAGCAACUAAAAUUGCUCACGACUUGCGUCCUGACCUUGAAAUCGAUGGUGAGUUGCAAUUUGAUGCAGCCUUUGUUCCUGAAACUGCAGCUCUGAAAGCUCCUGGAAGUACGGUAGCUGGUCAAGCAAAUGUCUUCAUCUUCCCAGGUAUCGAGGCAGGAAAUAUCGGUUACAAGAUGGCUGAACGCCUGGGUGGCUUUGCGGCUGUAGGACCUGUUUUGCAAGGUUUAAACAAGCCAGUUAAUGAUCUUUCUCGUGGAUGUAAUGCAGAUGAUGUUUACAAGUUGACCCUCAUCACAGCAGCUCAAGCAGUUCAUCAAUAGUGAAAACUAUAAAGCGAUAUACUAUGCUAUACUGUAGUUAUGAAACUAUGUACGAAAAGCACUGCCAUUAAUUCCUGAGAACUAAAUUACUGAUUGGUGUCAAAAAGGAAAACUUCCAAGCGAUGAUAUCCUGUCUAUACACGACCUAUAGAAAUCUGUAAUAUACAUGUCCGUAAAACGAUAAAUUCCCUUUUUGAUUUUAAAUGAGUAUGAAAAGAGAAUUUUUUCAUGAGAAAACGCAUAAUAUUAAGUGUCUUGACACCUGCUAUUAUGCGUUUUCUGGCUCUUUGUCAACUGUAGUGGGUUGAAGAAAAGCUAAGCUCGAGAAAGGACAAAUUUUGUCCUUUCUUUUUUGAUGUUCAGAGCGAUAAAAAUCCGUUUUUUGAAGUUUUCAAAGUUUCGAAAACCAAAGGCAUUGUGCUUGAUAAGUUUGAUGAGAUUAUUGGUGGCUUCCAGUUUGGCGUUGGAAUAAGGUAAUUGAAGGGCGUUGACGAUUUUCUCUUUAUCUUUGAGGAAGGUUUUAAACAGAGUCUGAAAAAGAGGUGGAAAAGCAAGAGCUGAUAGAGAUUAUAGUGGUGUUUCAAGUCUUCGGAAUAGCUCAAAAGUUUAUCUAGAAUUUCUUUAUUAGUCAAGUGCAUACGAAAAGUAGGGCGAUAAAAUCGUUUAUCACUCAGUUUCUGACUAUCUUGUUGAAUGAGCUUUCAGUAUCGCUUGAUAGCCUUGUAUUCAUGGGAUUUCGGAUGAUGGCUUGUGUUCUGCUCUCAAGAACAGUUAUGAUAUUGAGCUUAUCAAAGUCNCAAAAACACAGCUCUCUGCUAAAUCGUAAGAUGAUGUAUAGGGGGUGACGCCUGCCCGGUGCUGGAAGGUUAAGAGGAGUGCUUAGCGUAAGCGAAGGUAUGAAUUGAAGCCCCAGUAAACGGCGGCCGUAACUAUAACGGUCCUAAGGUAGCGAAAUUCCUUGUCGGGUAAGUUCCGACCCGCACGAAAGGCGUAAUGAUUUGGGCACUGUCUCAACGAGAGACUCGGUGAAAUUUUAGUACCUGUGAAGAUGCAGGUUACCCGCGACAGGACGGAAAGACCCCAUGGAGCUUUACUGCAGUUUGAUAUUGAGUGUCUGUACCACAUGUACAGGAUAGGUAGGAGUCUAAGAGAUCGGGACGCCAGUUUCGAAGGAGACGCUGUUGGGAUACUACCCUUGUGUUAUGGCCACUCUAACCCAGAUAGGUGAUCCCUAUCGGAGACAGUGUCUGACGGGCAGUUUGACUGGGGCGGUCGCCUCCUAAAAGGUAACGGAGGCGCCCAAAGGUUCCCUCAGAAUGGUUGGAAAUCAUUCGCAGAGUGUAAAGGUAUAAGGGAGCUUGACUGCGAGAGCUACAACUCGAGCAGGGACGAAAGUCGGGCUUAGUGAUCCGGUGGUUCCGUAUGGAAGGGCCAUCGCUCAACGGAUAAAAGCUACCCUGGGGAUAACAGGCUUAUCUCCCCCAAGAGUUCACAUCGACGGGGAGGUUUGGCACCUCGAUGUCGGCUCGUCGCAUCCUGGGGCUGUAGUCGGUCCCAAGGGUUGGGCUGUUCGCCCAUUAAAGCGGCACGCGAGCUGGGUUCAGAACGUCGUGAGACAGUUCGGUCCCUAUCCGUCGCGGGCGUAGGAAAUUUGAGAGGAUCUGCUCCUAGUACGAGAGGACCAGAGUGGACUUACCGCUGGUGUACCAGUUGUCUUGCCAAAGGCAUCGCUGGGUAGCUAUGUAGGGAAGGGAUAAACGCUGAAAGCAUCUAAGUGUGAAACCCACCUCAAGAUGAGAUUUCCCAUGAUUAUAUAUCAGUAAGAGCCCUGAGAGAUGAUCAGGUAGAUAGGUUAGAAGUGGAAGUGUGGCGACACAUGUAGCGGACUAAUACUAAUAGCUCGAGGACUUAUCCAA
rnacentral:rRNA from 1 species